rnacentral:rRNA from 1 species
AUGCACGCUGGCGGCGUGCUUAACACCUGCAAGUCGAACGAAGCACUUUAUUUGAUUUCCUUCGGGACUGAUUAUUUUGUGACUGAGUGGCGGACGGGUGAGUAACGCGUGGGUAACCUGCCUUGUACAGGGGGAUAACAGUUGGAAACGGCUGCUAAUACCGCAUAAGCGCACGGCAUCGCAUGAUGCAGUGUGAAAAACUCCGGUGGUAUAAGAUGGACCCGCGUUGGAUUAGCUAGUUGGUGAGGUAACGGCCCACCAAGGCGACGAUCCAUAGCCGACCUGAGAGGGUGACCGGCCACAUUGGGACUGAGACACGGCCCAAACUCCUACGGGAGGCAGCAGUGGGGAAUAUUGCACAAUGGGCGAAAGCCUGAUGCAGCGACGCCGCGUGAGCGAAGAAGUAUUUCGGUAUGUAAAGCUCUAUCAGCAGGGAAGAUAAUGACGGUACCUGACGAAGAAGCACCGGCUAGAUACGUG